CGAACGGGUGAGUAACGCGUGAGGAACCUGCCUCAAAGGGGGGGACAACAGUUGGAAACGACUGCUAAUACCGCAUAAGCCCACGGCUCGGCAUCGAGCAGAGGGAAAAGGAGCAAUCCGCUUUGAGAUGGCCUCGCGUCCGAUUAGCUAGUUGGUGAGGUAACGGCCCACCAAGGCGACGAUCGGUAGCCGGACUGGGAGGUUGAACGGCCACAUUGGGACUGAGACACGGCCCAG
rnacentral:rRNA from 1 species